rnacentral:lncRNA from 1 species
GUUAUUACUGUCUGAUUUGAUCGGAGGCAGGGGGUGGUCUCCAAUCAAACAGAGAAAAGGUCCUGGAGAAGAUGUAUCUUUAAAGCUGUCCUGCUGAAUUGGAAGUCCCUGGAGGGCAGAACUGGCACCCUGUUCAAUCUGGAAUGCCCAGAAAUUCAAUCAACAGAAGUCAGUAUUGAUUUCACACCCUCCUGGACCCCUAUUUGAGUCUCUGUGUGGUGGCCCCUCUCCCCGGAAGUGAAGUCUUCCAGACUAUGACCAUCAUGAGCCAUCUUUUCCCAAUUGAGUACUCGAAAGAAGAAAACUGGGCUAGAGAAACAGGAUCUCGGAUGAUUAUAAUUGAAGAGUGUCUAUUGCUCCAGAGCCACAGUGAGUCUGAUCUAUGAGCUAGAAGACAGCUGGGACAGCAAAUUCUUGACUCGCUUAUCAUCAUGUUCCCUUUCCAUGGUCAGCCCAGACUCUGGGCUCCAUCACAACACACUAGUCUGUUCAGCAUGGAGUACCUUUUUUGCCUCUUCUAGUCCAGCCAUCCAGGCAAAUCAAUCAAUACACUAAGUGGCAAUUCAUAAGUGACCCAUCGUGUCAAGCUGGAGAGCAGGAGGGACACCCAGCUUUUUAAAGCGAGCUUAUCAAUCACUGUAUCCCGAAUAAGCAUCUUCAUCCCAGCUACAGAAAAUAGAAGGCUGUAGAAAAGAACAGGAGGCUAGCCAUGCUUUCAACCUUAUUUUAAAGUAAUUAUAUGAAAAAAGUCUGUGUUUAUAAACUAAUAAAUUAUACACUUUUAAAAUGUU